rnacentral:rRNA from 1 species
GAUGAACGCUGGCGGCGUGCCUAAUACAUGCAAGUAGAACGCUGAAGCUUGGUGCUUGCACCGAGCGGAUGAGUUGCGAACGGGUGAGUAACGCGUAGGUAACCUGCCUCUUAGCGGGGGAUAACUAUUGGAAACGAUAGCUAAUACCGCAUAAAAGUCGAUAUCGCAUGAUAUUGAUUUGAAAGGUGCAAAUGCAUCACUAAGAGAUGGACCUGCGUUGUAUUAGCUAGUUGGUGAGGUAACGGCUCACCAAGGCGACGAUACAUAGCCGACCUGAGAGGGGGAUCGGCCACACUGGGACUGAGACACGGCCCAGACUCCUACGGGAGGCAGCAGUAGGGAAUCGUCGGCAAUGGGGGCAACCCUGACCGAGCAACGCCGCGUGAGUGAAGAAGGUUUUCGGAUCGUAAAGCUCUGUUGUAAGAGAAGAACGAGUGUGAGAGUGGAAAGUUCACACUGUGACGGUAACUUACCAGAAAGGGACGGCUAACUACGUG